rnacentral:rRNA from 1 species
GAUGAAUAUUUUGUACCGAAAAACCUAGAUUUUAUUUAAUAUCGUUGUGAACUAAAACUGUUCAAGUUGAUUGUGUUUAAAUAUUAAGUAAGUAGUGAAAUAUUAGUCGUUGGGUUUUAUAUCUGUGUAACUGCUAUACUAUUUUGAUUUAGACUUAAGGCGAUAAGGUUUUGAGUAAGUUUAUACUGAUAUUUAUAUGCUGUUAUAAUGGGGUUAAAGGUACCUAAUUUUAGUAAGUUUGUUAAAAAUUUUGUUGGUUUGGUUGUGUUUAGUUAAUUUUUUUGCAGUUUGUUUAAUAUUUAGAGUUUAAAUAUUAUUAAAUAAGUAAUUAAAUUAUAGUUGUUAUUUCUAGAGUUUUGCCCGUCUGUUUAUUAAAAACAUUUCUAAGUUAUAUUAUACUUAGUAGGACCUGCUCAAUGCUUAUGUUAAUAGCCGCAGUAUUUUGACUGUGCAAAGGUAGCAUAAUUAAUUGUCUUAUAAUUGAAGACUUGUUUGAAUGGUUGGACGUGGUAAUAAUGAAUAUCUACUAUUUAUUUGAAAUUAUUUUUGUGGUUUAGAAACCACGAAGUUUAGUUAGACGGAAAGACCCCGGGAUCUUUUAAUUUUGCUUGGGGCAAGUUUUUGUUUUUUACUUAGAUUAUGUUCCUAUAUAUGUUUAGAUUGAUGGGUUAAGUUACCCCGGGGAUAACAGUGUAAUAAUUAAUAAAAGAUCAUAUUGAGUUAGUUGAUUGCCACCUCGAUGUUGACUUAGGUUUGAAGCUGUGGGCGCAGUAGUUUACGGUUUAGGUCUGUUCGACCUUAAUUACCUUCAUGAGUUGAGUUAAGACCGGCGUGAGCCAGGUCGGUUCUUAUCUACUGUGGUGGCUUAUUAGUACGAAAGGAUUGUAAGCCUUUUUGU